AAAUUGAAGAGUUUGAUCAUGGCUCAGAUUGAACGCUGGCGGCAGGCCUAACACAUGCAAGUCGAACGGUAACAGGAAGCAGCUUGCUGCUUCGCUGACGAGUGGCGGACGGGUGAGUAAUGUCUGGGAAACUGCCUGAUGGAGGGGGAUAACUACUGGAAACGGUGGCUAAUACCGCAUAACGUCGCAAGACCAAAGAGGGGGACCUUCGGGCCUCUUGCCAUCAGAUGUGCCCAGAUGGGAUUAGCUAGUUGGUGAGGUAACGGCUCACCAAGGCGACGAUCCCUAGCUGGUCUGAGAGGAUGACCAGCCACACUGGAACUGAGACACGGUCCAGACUCCUACGGGAGGCAGCAGUGGGGAAUAUUGCACAAUGGGCGCAAGCCUGAUGCAGCCAUGCCGCGUGUAUGAAGAAGGCCUUCGGGUUGUAAAGUACUUUCAGCGGGGAGGAAGGUGUUGCGGUUAAUAACCGCAGCAAUUGACGUUACCCGCAGAAGAAGCACCGGCUAACUCCGUGCCAGCAGCCGCGGUAAUACGGAGGGUGCAAGCGUUAAUCGGAAUUACUGGGCGUAAAGCGCACGCAGGCGGUCUGUCAAGUCGGAUGUGAAAUCCCCGGGCUCAACCUGGGAACUGCAUUCGAAACUGGCAGGCUUGAGUCUUGUAGAGGGGGGUAGAAUUCCAGGUGUAGCGGUGAAAUGCGUAGAGAUCUGGAGGAAUACCGGUGGCGAAGGCGGCCCCCUGGACAAAGACUGACGCUCAGGUGCGAAAGCGUGGGGAGCAAACAGGAUUAGAUACCCUGGUAGUCCACGCCGUAAACGAUGUCUACUUGGAGGUUGUGCCCUUGAGGCGUGGCUUCCGGAGCUAACGCGUUAAGUAGACCGCCUGGGGAGUACGGCCGCAAGGUUAAAACUCAAAUGAAUUGACGGGGGCCCGCACAAGCGGUGGAGCAUGUGGUUUAAUUCGAUGCAACGCGAAGAACCUUACCUGGUCUUGACAUCCACGGAAGUUUUCAGAGAUGAGAAUGUGCCUUCGGGAACCGUGAGACAGGUGCUGCAUGGCUGUCGUCAGCUCGUGUUGUGAAAUGUUGGGUUAAGUCCCGCAACGAGCGCAACCCUUAUCCUUUGUUGCCAGCGGUUAGGCCGGGAACUCAAAGGAGACUGCCAGUGAUAAACUGGAGGAAGGUGGGGAUGACGUCAAGUCAUCAUGGCCCUUACGACCAGGGCUACACACGUGCUACAAUGGCGCAUACAAAGAGAAGCGACCUCGCGAGAGCAAGCGGACCUCAUAAAGUGCGUCGUAGUCCGGAUUGGAGUCUGCAACUCGACUCCAUGAAGUCGGAAUCGCUAGUAAUCGUGGAUCAGAAUGCCACGGUGAAUACGUUCCCGGGCCUUGUACACACCGCCCGUCACACCAUGGGAGUGGGUUGCAAAAGAAGUAGGUAGCUUAACCUUCGGGAGGGCGCUUACCACUUUGUGAUUCAUGACUGGGGUGAAGUCGUAACAAGGUAACCGUAGGGGAACCUGCGGUUGGAUCACCUCCUUA
rnacentral:rRNA from 2 species